rnacentral:tRNA from 1 species
GGGGUUGUGGUCUAGCUUGGUAUGAUUCACGGUUCGGGGCCGUGAGGUCGGGGGUUCGAAUCCCCUCAACCCCA